rnacentral:lncRNA from 1 species
CUUUUCACACAGUAAAACCCUGCUUUACUUCCCUUUGAGUCGUCUGUGAGCCUAAAUUUUUGUGGCUGUGGGAAGGACAAGAACCCCAUCUUUAGCUGAAAUAAGGAAAAGUUCCGCAACAUUUUUGGCACACACCCUGGGGGCUCCGGAAGUGAAAGUUCCCAGGAGAUGAAGACAUUGAAACUGCCAUCAUAAAAUUAAUAAAAGGUUCAAGAUUAGAAUUAUGGUAUUGGCCUGGAUUUUGUUAAGACAGAGACAUAGGAUUAUGUUGGCUCGGAGAAUGAUACCUCAAAGGCUGGUGCUGAGAGUUCUUAGAAGCUGCUUCAGAAUCAAGUUGUCUUCUCCUCAUAGUCCUCCACUAAAGCCUGAACAACAAGGAAUGCUGUCGGAACUGGACCUUGAUGAAGGAAAUACUUUCUGACUCAUUGGAAUUUGUUAUAGUCAAAUUUGCCUAUGUGAUAACUUAGGUCUUCACGAUGGCCCAGAGUAAGACGACGCAGGAGGACCCUUCUAGUCAUUUAAUUAUUGCUUGACCAGAACUGUGCCUUGUAAGAAAUGCUUGCUGUUUGGAAACUUGUGAAGACCUGCAUCCCUUUGUAUCUCAAAUAAAGACAGAGGUGUUUCCAGACCUAAGAAUAACAGGAACAUGGAGGAGUGGCAUCUCCAGUGUAGCCACCCACCAAAGCCUCAUCCUGAACACUAUGGCCUAGUGGGUCACUUACAGGGAUGUAGCUGGCAUUGAUGUAGUCAGAGCAAGGAUCAUCAUCUACAUUGGAGAGCUUCACUCGCGUGGCAUCAUCUGGAAGGAGAGAUUUGCUGCUGAGUCUUGGAGUGACUUUUCUACAGUUUAUGUGAUGUGUGUGAUGUGCCUUAGCUCUGAUCCCCACAACAGCCACAGAUGGGAAGUGAUCUUAUCUCCAUUUUGCAGAUGAGGCUCAGGCAGGAUAACUAACUUGCCCCAUGUUGCAUAGGUGGCCUAUAACCAGUCAGACACAGGAGACAACAUGAAGCCCCAUCUGUGCUUCCCUUUCUGACAUUACCACAUUUGCC